rnacentral:rRNA from 1 species
UACGGAGGGGGCUAGCGUUGUUCGGAAUUACUGGGCGUAAAGCGCACGUAGGCGGCUUUGUAAGUUAGAGGUGAAAGCCCGGGGCUCAACUCCGGAAUUGCCUUUAAGACUGCAUCGCUAGAAUUGUGGAGAGGUAAGUGGAAUUCCGAGUGUAGAGGUGAAAUUCGUAGAUAUUCGGAAGAACACCAGUGGCGAAGGCGACUUACUGGACACAUAUUGACGCUGAGACACGAAAGCGUGGGUAGCAAACAGG